CCGGUUCAAUUCUCAAGUAAAGAGAAGGUUGAGAAGGGUUCAAUCUUUGACAAAAGUGUCGGAGAUAAGCCUAUAAUGUGUAAACAAAAAAAAGUGUUUCUGUAUAGGAUUCCUAUUUACAAUGUGAAACAUAAUUAGCCUAGGUACAUGAUGAGCUUUUCAACAAUAGCUUCUAACUUGUGGAGAGUCUUGCUCCUCUGUACAUUGUUUCUGUAAGAACUAAAAAGGAAAAAGAGAAAGAGUAGUAUUCUCAAGUAACAUGUGAGCUGACAGAAGGAUCUAACCAGGUGGUAAGCUUUGAGCUUUCUUUCGAAGUAUGAAAGAAGGGACCUGCCACUUGUCAAACUUAAAUGCCCUCUAGCUUAUCUUGGUAGUGAGUUAAAACUGAUUUUUUUUUUCUGCAUUCAAUGGUUGACUGUAUCCAGCUAGAAUCAGCCACACCAUUGGCUUCUCUGUCACAGUGUGUCACCUUGAAUCAACUCUUUGAUCUCUUCAAUAUUAGGUUCAUGGUUCCAAGAAGGUUUUGCUAUUCCUUUGUCAACAUUCAAAAUAAGUAGAGUCGACUUCCACACAAAUACUCUAAUAUGAUGUCCAGGACACCAUUUAAGCCCAUGGGAAAGCGCAAAUGCUUCAGCCUCAUUGUUGUUCCAUGGCCUAGUGGGACUGCAACUGCCCAUCUAUGUUUAGUUUUACCCAUCCUAGAUCGGGUUUGCACCAUUUGACAAUAGUGCUUGUCCAUCGAGGUGGAUGUUUCUCAAUGUGCACAGAAAUUGCUCCAGGGAAUGCAUAGUUCAAAUUUUAGCAACUUUAUUUGAAUGCUGCUUUUCAAGGAUUUCAGAAUCUUCUUUUUUUGUAUUGAAAGUUGAUGGUUUCUCUUUUCUAAAUCUGCUAAAUCAGCAUGCUUAUUGUUCUGUAUUUGUGUAAUAUGUUUAGAGGAACUUUUGUUCUCUCAGUUUAUUCUCCUCAAGAAAAUAGCUUAGUUUGAGUUGCUCAAUGAAAUUCCAUGUUGUCACUAUCAAAAUUUAUUCUGUGAGUAAUCCAAUUCUACAGUCAAACUCUUUUAUAGUUGAAAGAUGUUUAACAAGUGAUAGUACUCACCUUCAUGCGAGGAGUUAAAGGAUCAGCUUCAAUAAAGCUUUGAGAUAUCCUUUGUUGUUUGCAUGUACCACUUUUAACAUUUGAUAAGCACUUGACAUUGUUCCUCGAAUCUAAAAAUUCAUCACUUUUUUGUUUUAUCCACAAUCAACUUCUUGGCUUUCUACUUCCAUCUAAGGAGAAUAACUGGUUAAUAUUAGUGGAUUCUUUCCUGCAGGACAUGCUGUUAAAGUACACAAAUAGGGAUGAGCAGAUCAAGAGGACCUACUGUCAACGUACACAAAUGAGGAUGAACAGCACAGGAGGUUUGAGACAUAUAAUUUUAACAGCUCAUUGCUACAUUUAAAGACCAUCAAGAUCAUUAACUUUGAUGGACCACUAAGUGGAAAUAAGUCUAUACAGCCGUUGGUGAAAUAUUUGCUCAAGCAUGCAACAGUGCUAGAAAAGUUCGUCAUUGCCGCCAGAUACAAAAGGAGUGAUGUGUCUCGGGAUUAUGUUAAAAUGGAGCAGGAGUUCCUAAGCUUUCCAAGAUCCUCUCCGCAUGCCUAUUUGGCAGGUCCCUAUUGUUUGAAUCAAUUGCAACAUACUUAGCAGCUGUUACGUUAUGUUUUAAACUGGUUUUGUAACUGCAAGACAAGGUUAGGAUUGACUUGUCAGUAUCCAAGGAGUUGUUAAUAGUUCUUCAUCAUGUCUCAGUGACAAUAUGUUUAUUCUCUGAUCAUCAUGUAAGAAAGUUUGCUCUAAAUGUUUGAUUUCUAUUCAUAUUGCUGAAUCUUGAUCAUGUUUUUA